rnacentral:rRNA from 1 species
AUUGAACGCUGGCGGCAGGCUUAACACAUGCAAGUCGAGCGAGCGGCGGACGGGUGAGUAAUGUCUGGGCCACUGCCUGAUGGAGGGGGAUAACUACUGGAAACGGUAGCUAAUACCGCAUACCAUCAGAUGUGCCCAGAGGGGAUUAGCGAGUAGGUGGGGUAAUGGCUCACCUAGGCGACGAUCCCUAGCUGGUCUGAGAGGAUGACCAGCCACACUGGAACUGAGAAACGGUCCAGACGCCGACGGGAGGCAGCAGUGGGGAAUAUGGCACAAUGGGCGAAAGCCGGAUGCAGCCAUGCCGCGUGUGUGAAGAAGGCCUUCGGGUUGUAAAGCACUUUCAGCGAGUAGGCGUUACUCGCAGAAGAAGCACCGGCUAACUCCGUGCCAGCCGCCGCGGUAAUUC